CCUACGGGUGGCAGCAGUGAGGAAUAUUGGUCAAUGGGCGCGAGCCUGAACCAGCCAAGUCGCGUGAAGGAUUAAGGCCCUAUGGGUUGUAAACUUCUUUUAUAAGGGAAUAAAGUGAGGCACGUGUGCCUUUUUGUAUGUACCCUAUGAAUAAGGAUCGGCUAACUCCGUGCCAGCAGCCGCGGUAAUACGGAGGAUGCGAGCGUUAUCCGGAUUUAUUGGGUUUAAAGGGAGCGUAGGUGGGUUGUUAAGUCAGCUGUGAAAGUUUGCGGCUCAACCGUAAAAUUGCCGUUGAUACUGGCAGCCUUGAGUACAGUUGAGGUAGGCGGAAUGCGUGGUGUAGCGGUGAAAUGCAUAGAUAUCACGCAGAACUCCGAUUGCGAAGGCAGCUUACUAACCUACAACUGACACUGAAGCACGAAAGUGUGGGGAUCAAACAGGAUUAGAUACCCUUGUAGUC
rnacentral:rRNA from 1 species